GCAAUAGCUGACUAGGGUUCCGAUCCGCGUUCCGAUGAAUACGGGUGACUGGUCCGAGAGUUGGCGACCUCCUUCGAGGUUACACGGCGGGAUAAAAGCCCGGGAGAA
rnacentral:sRNA from 1 species